GGCGGAUUCGUCUAACAGAUCAGGACAAGAGGCUUUCAAUCUCUAAAUAGUGGGUUCGAUCCCCCUAUCCGUCACCA
rnacentral:tRNA from 1 species